rnacentral:rRNA from 1 species
AUUGAACGCUGGCGGCAUGCCUUACACAUGCAAGUCGAACGGCAGCACGGGAGCAAUCCUGGUGGCGAGUGGCGAACGGGUGAGUAAUAUAUCGGAACGUGCCCAGUCGUGGGGAUAACGUAGCGAAAGCUACGCUAAUACCGCAUACGAUCUACGGAUGAAAGCGGGGGAUCGCAAGACCUCGCGCGAUUGGAGCGGCCGAUAUCAGAUUAGGUAGUUGGUGAGGUAAAAGGCUCACCAAGCCAACGAUCUGUAGCUGGUCUGAGAGGACGACCAGCCACACUGGAACUGAGACACGGUCCAGACUCCUACGGGAGCAGCAGUGAGGAAUUUUUCUGCAAAUGGGCGAAAGCCUGACAGAGC